rnacentral:rRNA from 1 species
UACGGAGGGGGCUAGCGUUGUUCGGAAUUACUGGGCGUAAAGCGCACGUAGGCGGCUUUGCAAGUCAGAGGUGAAAGCCCGGGGCUCAACCCCGGAAUUGCCUUUGAGACUGCAUCGCUAGGAUUGUGGAGAGGUAAGUGGAAUUCCGAGUGUAGAGGUGAAAUUCGUAGAUAUUCGGAAGAACACCAGUGGCGAAGGCGACUUACUGGGCACAUAUUGACGCUGAGGUGCGAAAGCGUGGGGAGCAAACAGG